rnacentral:rRNA from 1 species
UUGCUCUUUCCGGAUGAGUUGCGAACGGGUGAGUAACGCGUAGGUAACCUGCCUGGUAGCGGUAGAUAACUAUUGGAAACGAUAGCUAAUACCGCAUAACAGUAGAUAUCGCCUGAUAGCUGCUUAAAAGGUGCAAUUGCACCACUACCAGAUGGACCUGCGUUGUAUCCCCUAGUUGGUGAGGUAACGGCUCACGCAAGGCCACGAUACAUAGCCGACCUGAGAGGGUGAUCGGCCACACUGAGACUGAGACACGGCCCAUACUCCUACGGGAGGCAGCAGUAGGGAAUCUUCUGCAAUGUGACGGAAGUCUGACCGAGCAACGCCGCGUGAGUGAAGAAGGUUUUCCGAUCGUAAAGCUCCUGUUGUAAGAGAAGAACGACUGUGUGAGUGGUAAGUUCACACUGUUAACAGUAAUCUUACGAAAAAAGGGAAGGCUAAAUAACACACCAACAAACCGCAGUAAU